CUGCAUUCUGAUUUAAUGUUUACUUACAGGACCUGUCAGCAAAUGAGUUUAGGAAGGUGCUUUUGAUAUACCAUGAAAACAAGAGCUUACACACAACACACCAGGGCCCAUCAGUUUGUCUGUGUGGCACAGCAAGUGUCACUGAACAAUGGCAGCAACACAGCCAACAUGCCACCUAUGUCUGUCCGUGUAGCUGUGUGGUUAGAGAGACUGAUAGCUACGUAGGGUCCCAGGUGCAAUUCCUUGCCAAGUCGGAGAGUCUAUCCUCUCGGGGGCUGGGUUAUGUGUUGCAUUUCAAAAUAAGGUAAAAUUGUGAUAAUGGCAAAUCACCAAAGUGGUAUCAUCUGGUGAAGACUUGCAGUAGGCAACCGAAUGGUCCUGCACAGGAUCUCCCAGACAGAAAUGCCACAUGGUCAUUUCUUUUCACUCUAGGGCUGUAGAGUAAGCAUUGAGUAGCUGUGUAUACUAUGAUGCAUUGUCAUGACUGUCACCUAGCAUGGCAAUACAGUAUGCCGCUGUAAUGGUGUCAACAGUGUUGUGUAGUUUGUCUGCUCC